rfam:Lachnobacterium bovis strain S1b genome assembly, contig: IE07DRAFT_NODE_1_len_644_cov_68_277954.64
GGUCAAGCAAAAAAGAGCGCAGGGUGGAUGCCUUGGCACUAAGAGCCGACGAAAGACGUGAUAAGCUGCGAAAAGCUGCGGGGAAGUGCAAAUAACUAAAGAUCCGCAGAUGUCUGAAUGGGGGAACCCAUCUAACAAAAGUUAGAUAUCCAUAUGUGAAUAAAAUAGUGUAUGGAAGGGAACCCGGUGAACUGAAACAUCUAAGUAGCCGGAGGAAGAGAAAGAAACAUCGAUUUUGUGAGUAGCGGCGAGCGAAAGCGAAAGAGGCCAAACCAGUGUGCGUGCAUGCUGGGGUUCGGACCGUAUAAUUGAUUCGACAGAGUGAGCAGAAUUGUAUUGGGAAAUCAAGCCAAAGAGGGUGAAAGCCCCGUAAGCGAAGCGAAGGAGACAAGACGGGAUCCAGAGUACAUCGAGACACGAGAAACCUUGAUGGAAAGAGCGGGGACCACCCCGUAAGCCUAAAUACUACUUAGUGACCGAUAGCGCAUAGUACUGUGAAGGAAAGGUGAAAAGAACCCCGGGAGGGGAGUGAAAGAGAACCUGAAACCCUGUGUUUACAAGCUGUGGAACAACGAAAGUUGAACUGCGUACUUUUUGUAGAACGGUCCGGCGAGUUAUUGUUGUUGGCAAGGUUAAGAACUUAAGGUUUGGAGCCGAAGGGAAACCAAGU